rnacentral:rRNA from 1 species
UACGUAGGGGGCGAGCGUUGUCCGGAAUUAUUGGGCGUAAAGAGCGUGUAGGCGGUUCGGUAAGUCUGCCGUGAAAACCUGGGGCUCAACCCCGGGCGUGCGGUGGAUACUGCCGGGCUAGAGGGUGGUAGAGGCGAGUGGAAUUCCCGGUGUAGCGGUGAAAUGCGCAGAUAUCGGGAGGAACACCAAUGGCGAAGGCAGCUCGCUGGGACGUUACUGACGCUGAGACGCGAAAGCGUGGGGAGCAAACAGG